CACGUAGGGCGCAAGCGUUGUCCGGAAUUAUUGGGCGUAAAGAGCUCGUAGGCGGUCUGUUGCGUCCGCUGUGAAAACUCGGGGCUUAACCCCGAGCCUGCAGUGGAUACGGGCAGACUAGAGGUAGGUAGGGGAGAAUGGAAUUCCCGGUGUAGCGGUGAAAUGCGCAGAUAUCGGGAGGAGCACCGGUGGCGAAGGCGGCACUCUGGGACGUGACUGACGCUGAGACGCGAAAGCGUGGGGAGCAAACAGG
rnacentral:rRNA from 1 species